rnacentral:rRNA from 1 species
UCUUUUAUCUUUUAAAGACCUAGUAAUAGGUAUGCUUUAGGAGGGGCUUGCGCCAUAUUAGUUAGUUGGUAGGGUAAUGGCCUACCAAGACGAUGAUGUGUAGCUGGACUGAGAGGUUGAACAGCCACAUUGGGACUGAGACACGGCCCAAACUCCUACGGGAGGCAGCAGUAGGGAAUUUUCGGCAAUGGAGGAAACUCUGACCGAGCAACGCCGCGUGAAUGACGAAGUACUUCGGUAUGUAAAGUUCUUUUAUCAAGGAAGAAAAGCAAAUGGCGAACCAUUUGUUUGCCGGUACUUGAUGAAUAAGCCCCGGCUAAUUAUGUGCCAGCAGCUGCGGUAAGACAUAAGGGGCAAGUGUUAUCCGGAAUUAUUAGGCGUAAAGGGUGCGUAGGCGGUCUAAUAAGUCAGUGGUGUAAUGACAACGCUUAACGUUGUCCGGCUAUUGAAACUGCUAAACUUGAGUUAGAUAGAGGCGAGUGGAAUUCCAUGUGUAGCGGUAAAAUGCGUAAAUAUAUGGAGGAACACCAGAGGCGUAGGCGGCUCGCUGGGUCUUAACUGACGCUGAGGCACGAAAGCGUGGGGAGCAAACAGGAUUAGAUACCCUGGUAGUCCACGCCGUAAACGAUGAGUACUAAGUGUCGGGUUAAACCGGUACUGAAGUUAACACAUUAAGUACUCCGCCUGAGUAGUACGUACGCAAGUAUGAAACUUAAAGGAAUUGACGGGACUCCGCACAAGCGGUGGAUCAUGUUGUUUAAUUCGAAGAUACCCGAAAAACCUUACCAGGUCUUGACAUGUUUUUGCAAAAUGAUAGUAAUAUCGUGGAGGUUACCAGAAACACAGGUGGUGCAUGGUUGUCGUCAGCUCGUGUCGUGAGAUGUUAGGUUAAGUCCUAAAACGAGCGAAACCCUUAUCGUUAGUUGCCAGCACGUUAUGGUGGGGACUUUAACGAGACUGCCAAUGAUAAAUUGGAGGAAGGUGAGGAUCACGUCAAAUCAGCAUGCCCCUUAUGACCUGGGCUACAAACGUGAUACAAUGGCUGUUACAAAGGGUAGCUGAAACGCAAGUUCUUGGCCAAUCCCCAAAAACAGUCCCAGUCCGGAUUGAAGUCUGCAACUCGACUUCAUGAAGUUGGAAUCGCUAGUAAUCGCGAAUCAGCAUGUCGCGGUGAAUA